rnacentral:tRNA from 2 species
GCCUGUAUUUUGGAAAUGUACUGAUUUCAUUGAGUUUUCUCCGCCCUCAAAAUCUGUUUCACUUAGUGAGUGGGAGUUCGAUUCUCCCCGGGGGCACCA